UACGUAGGGGGCGAGCGUUGUCCGGAUUUAUUGGGCGUAAAGAGCGUGUAGGCGGCCAGGUAGGUCUGCUGUGAAAACUCGAGGCUCAACCUCGAGACGUCGGCGGAAACCAUCUGGCUAGAGUCCGGAAGAGGAGAGUGGAAUUCCAGGUGUAGCGGUGAAAUGCGUAGAUAUCUGGAGGAACACCGGUGGCGAAGGCGGCAUCCUGGACCGGUAUUGACGCUGAGGCGCGAAAGCUAGGGGAGCAAACGGG
rnacentral:rRNA from 1 species